rnacentral:rRNA from 1 species
GGUUGACCUCGGAUCAGGUAGGAAUACCCGCUGAACUUAAGCAUAUCU